CCCCGCGAUAGCGCUUCUCUCACUCGGCAGCACGUCGAUUUGCUGCUGGGCAUGCGUGCCACCAUGGGGGGGCUCAGUCGGAAAUUAGGUCAGUGACCCGCGGCUCUUAACCUCAAUUUACCUCAAUUUCGGCCCCGUUGGGGCCCCAAGGUGCCAGUGCUGCUGCCUGCCGUCCAUCGGGGUCCCUCCACAGCUCCAAGGUAGGCCUCCGAGUGGAUUUUGUCGCCUCUCAGGGGCCAGUGUUGGGGCUUUGCUCGUUUUGGGGGAAAACUACAACAAGCUCUGCUUUCUGUGUUGUUGGUGUUUGCGUUGCCAGGCAACCGGACGACUGGGCAUGCGCGCCACCAUGGCAACCGCAACACUGGCAACAACAACCUGCGGCUUAUUCGCGAAUUAGGUCAGUGACCCCCGGAUGUUUACCCCAGUUUGGGCCCCAUUUGCAGCUGAUUUGGGGCCCACAGUGCCAGUGCUGGUGCCUCCGAGAGAUGCGAGCAUCGGACAUUUUCCAACGCUCCAAGGGGGCCUUCGUCGGCGGCGAUUCCUGAGCGGUUGGUGAAUGCGCCCGCCGAUCACCCCCGAGAGCCGGAUGGACCGAGGGAUUUUGCCUGUGAUUUUAGGCAAAGCCGGCCCUGCCGCCCUCAGUUUACGCCAUACGGCCCCGCACUACUCGGUUAGUGUGGUCUCUGUCUGAUGCAUCCGUGACGUCGGUUAGAUGCGUGAACUCAAAGGCGACAUUGACGGUGCAAGCGCACAGGCCAGGACUCAGGGAGAUUUUCAACCAAAGUUUAAUCAUAAACCUUUUCGUCACUGA